rnacentral:RNase_P_RNA from 1 species
GGUGAAAGGGUGAGGUAAGAGCUCACCGCGUCCGGGGCCAACGCCGGGCGGCACGGUAAACCCCAUCCGGAGCAAGACCAAAUAGGGAAGCAUUGGCGUGGCUCGCGUCGCUUCCGGGUAGGUUGCUUGAGUGUGUCGGUAACGGUGCGCCUAGAGGAAUGAUUGUCACGCCACCUGCAAGGGUGGCGCACAGAACCCGGCUUACCGGGCGACUUCCCGC